rnacentral:rRNA from 1 species
AUUGAACGCUGGCGGAAUGCUUUACACAUGCAAGUCGGGCGGCAGCGCGGGGGCAACCCUGGCGGCGAGCGGCGAACGGGUGAGUAAUACAUCGGAACGUGUCCUUGAGUGGGGGAUAGCUCGGCGGAAGCCGGAUUAAUACCGCAUAAGCUCUGAGGAGGAAAGGCGGGGGACUGGUAACGGCCUCGCGCUGUUGGAGCGGCCGAUGUCGGAUUAGCUAGUUGGUGGGGAAAGCCCACCAAGGCGACGAUCCGUAGCUGGUCUGAGAGGAUGAUCAGCCACACUGGAACUGAGACACGGUCCAGACUCCUACGGGAGGCAGCAGUGGGGAAUUUGGACAAUGGGGGCAACCCUGAUCCAGCCAUUCCGCGUGAGUGAAGAA